rnacentral:lncRNA from 1 species
UUCAGAAUUGAUUCCCUUAUCAGUCUAUGGGCUCUUCUUGCAGCUCUACCCAAGUUUUCUAGCAUAUUUCAUAGAGUUGGCUAUAAGUGUUAUUUGUUCACAAAAAUUUAUAAGUUCAACACUUGGUGGUUUUUCUAAAAAAAAAAUACACAAGCUAUCAUUUUGACUACCAUGGAUAAGGCCGAAUGUUUAAGAGCAAGAUCUAUCACAACGUGAAGCCGAGUUAUGAGCCAA